ACAUUAUGCAUUGGAGGAUGGCUGCAUAGAAGAAAUGUAAACCUCCCUGUGAACAUUUGGGAAUAGUCCCCUGGUGUUUGGGAGACUUUAGUUAAAGGAGAUCAGAUUUGCAUGAAGGCCCUGCCCUCUUCUCUCUGGGCAUUUAUGAGAAGUUGGUUAGGAAGAGCAACUAAAAUCCCUUUGGUGGAGGAAGAUCAACUCAACAGAUUUUCCAGAAUGGCUGAGCUCUUGCUUCUUUUCACCAUCCUCAGUUUUGUCGGUUCGAGCGUCCAGCAGUUGCAGACCUUGAAGGACCCAGAAUCGGUGGCCCAAGGAGGGACGGUCACCCUGUCUUGCAGAUAUAAUAGUGGAAACAUCGGGGACAACAACCACCCAUCGUGGGUUCAACAAAUACCUGGAAGUAUACCUCGCUUGGUCAUGCAUAGCACCAGCACCCGACCCACAGGCGUCCCAAACCGUUUUUCGGGUUCUAGGUCGGGCAACAUGAUGUCCCUGACCAUCACGGGGGCCCUGGUGGAAGACGAAGCCAUGUAUUACUGUGUUAUAUGGACAGGGAGUGAGUGACACAGUUGUUGACCCAGA